UACGUAGGUGGCGAGCGUUGUCCGGAUUUACUGGGCGUAAAGAGCGCGCAGGCGGUCGUUCAAGUCGCGUGUGAAAGCCCCCGGCUCAACUGGGGAGGGUCACGCGAUACUGAUCGACUCGAAGGCAGGAGAGGGAAGUGGAAUUCCUGGUGUAGCGGUGAAAUGCGCAGAUAUCAGGAGGAACACCGGUGGCGAAGGCGGGUCUCUGGGCCGAUACUGACGCUGAGGAGCGAAAGCGUGGGGAGCGAACAGG
rnacentral:rRNA from 1 species